rnacentral:rRNA from 1 species
GAAUGUCAAAUUUCUAGUAUGAGAAAUUAACGAUUUAAGUCCUUCUUAAAUGAGGCCAUUUACCCAUAGAGGGUGCCAGGCCCGUAUAACGUUAAUGAUUACUAGAUGGCAUUUCCAAAGAGUCGUGUUGCUUGAUAGUGCAGCACUAAGUGGGUGGUAAACUCCAUCUAAAACUAAAUAUAACCAUGAGACCGAUAGUAAACAAGUACCGUGAGGGAAAGUUGAAAAGAACUCUGAAUAGAGAGUUAAAUAGUACGUGAAACUGCUUAGAGGUUAAGCCCGAUGAACCUGAAUAUCCGUUAUAGAAAAUUCAUCAUUAUGAUUUUAAUAUGUAUAAUAUUAUAAUAAUGGUGUGCAUUUUUUCUAUAAAAGGACAUUGUAAUCUAUUAACAUAAAAGUAUUUAUCAUAAGAUCAUUAGCAAGAGUUUAUUCAAAUUAUAUUGCUUGCAAUUUAACAUAGAAUAAAUGCUUUUGAUUUGAUAAAGUGUUGAUAGAUUUAUUAUAUAUAGUGCUUAAAUAUUUAAUAUUGUAUAAUAUCAUAUUGAUUAUUAAUUUUUAUGAUUAUUAUAUGCACUUAUAUGAUUAACAAUGCGAAAGAUUCAGGAUACCUUCGGGACCCGUCUUGAAACACGGACCAAGGAGUCUAACAUAUUUGCAAGUUAUUGGGAAUGAAAACCUAAUAGCGAAAUUAACAUAACUUAAAAAUAAUGGGAUUAGUUUUUAACCUAUUUUAUAGGUUAUUAAUUCAAUCCCGGGGCGUUCUAUACAGUUAUGUAUAAUGAUAUUUAUAUUAUUUAUACCUCUAACUAGAGCGUACCUUGAGCAUAUAUGCUGUGACCCGAAAGAUGGUGAACUAUACUUGAUCAGGUUGAAGUCAGGGGAAACCCUGAUGGAAGACCGAAACAGUUCUGACGUGCAAAUCGAUUGUCAGAAUUGAGUAUAGGGGCGAAAGACCAAUCGAACCAUCUAGUAGCUGGUUCCCUCCGAAGUUUCCCUCAGGAUAGCUGGUGCAUUUAAAAUUUAUGUAAAAUAAUCUUAUCUGGUAAAGCGAAUGAUUAGAGGCCUUAGGGUCGAAACGAUCUUAACCUAUUCUCAAACUUUAAAUGGGUAAGAACCUCACCUUUCUUGGUAUGAAGGUAGUGGUUGUGAUAUAAUGUGCCCAGUGGGCCACUUUUGGUAAGCAGAACUGGCGCUGUGGGAUGAACCAAACGUAAUGUUACGGUGCCCAAAUUAACAACUCAUGCAGAUACCAUGAAA